rnacentral:tRNA from 1 species
AGGGACUUAGGAUAAAAUUAGACCGAGGGCCUUCAAAGCCCUAAGCGGAAGUGAAAGCCCUCCAGCCCCUG